rnacentral:rRNA from 1 species
UACGUAGGUGGCAAGCGUUGUCCGGAUUACUGGGCGUAAAGAGCGCGCAGGCGGUCGUGCAAGUCGCGUGUGAAAGCCCCCGGCUCAACUGGGGAGGGUCACGCGAUACUGCUCGACUCGAAGGCAGGAGAGGAUCGCGGAAUUCCCGGUGUAGAGGUGAAAUUCGUAGAUAUCGGGAGGAACACCGGUGGCGAAGGCGGCGAUCUGGGUAGAGUACUGACGCUGAGG